rnacentral:sRNA from 1 species
GCACUGGCAAAAUCCAGUGUCAGGAUUGGACCCCCGUUUUUGAUUCUUCCGGCACAUAGAUGCCAGCUUUUUGCUGGUUUUUU